AUUGAACGCUGGCGGCAUGCUUUACACAUGCAAGUCGAACGGCAACGAGGAGAAGCUUGCUUCUCUGUCGGCGAGUGGCGAACGGGUGAGUAUAGCAUCGGAACGUGCCAAGUCGUGGGGGAUAACCAAACGAAAGUUUGGCUAAUACCGCGUAAGCUCCAAGGAGGAAAGUAGGGGACCUAAAUAAGGCCUUACGCUAUUUGAUCGGCCGAUGUCGGAUUAGCUAGUUGGUGGGGUAAUGGCUCACCAAGGCAAUGAUCCGUAGCGGGUCUGAGAGGACGAUCCGCCACACUGGGACUGAGACACGGCCCAGACUCCUACGGGAGGCAGCAGUGGGGAAUUUUGGACAAUGGGGGAAACCCUGAUCCAGCCAUGCCGCGUGUAUGAAGAAGGCCUUAGGGUUGUAAAGUACUUUUGUUAGGGAAGAAAAGCUAGUUUUUAAUAAAAAUUAGUGAUGACGGUACCUAAAGAAUAAGCACCGGCUAACUACGUG
rnacentral:rRNA from 1 species